rnacentral:lncRNA from 1 species
CACUUCACUCCAGCCUGGGCAACAGAGCAAGACUCUGCCUCAAAAGAAAAAAAAAUGAAAUUGUACAACCCUGUUCUGCCUGCCAAGUCCUGCAUCUGCCACCUCAAGGAAUAGGAGUUAACCCUAGAGGUUUAGCUCCAAAUUCCAUCUGGCAGAUGGAUGUAACACAUAUUCUUGCUUUUGGAAAAUUGUCCUUUGUUCAUGUUUCAGUAGAUAACCUAUUCACAUUUUAUCUGGGCCACAUGUCAAACAGGGGAAGCUAUAGCUCAUGUUAAAAGACAUCUUUUAUCUUGCUUUUCAGUUAUGGGAAUCCCAGAAAAAAUCAAAACUGAUAAUGGCCCAGGAUACUAUAGUAAAGCCAUGGCUACAUAUUUUCAACAAUGGAAUAUUACCCAUACUACAGGUGACAAUCAGGUAUCUGUGUGGGUGCCCACCAAAUAUCUGAAGAUCUAUCAUGAACCACAGCGUCUAGUGGACCCACCUUUAAAUUGAAGGUUUAAGGAUUGCUUUUUUGCUAUACUAUUGUACAAGAAGGACAAGCCUCGGUUUGCUUUCUCUAUGCCUUCUGUUAAUCAGAAAAAGCCUGUUUCUCGCUAUCAAUGUCUGCAGAUGCAGAAGCCACUGCUGGAGAGAAAGCCGCCAUUGAGAACAAGCAAUGAUAGCUGUGGCAGUUUUACAAAAAAGAAAAGGGGGACAUGUUGGGAGAAACACUAAGUGUUGGGAGAGAAGCUGAGGCAGGGCUUCGAACAUGUCCAGGGUCCAAGGUAAAACCCCUCCUGGCCUUUGGAAUGUGUCCAGACUUGCUGGCCCCUUGCUUCUAGCACUCCCAUGAUCUCAAGUAGCCAUAUGUUUCAAAGAAAAAUGCUAAACUGUCACAGCUGUAGCUCAUUCACUUGAUACACCACUUCCCACCUAGCAUGUCCAGUUCAUAUUGCUGGAAGGGCAGAUUUACAUGCCUUCUGUUUUAUAGUACUAGUGUAGCAGGACCAGUCGCAGACAAAACUUCUUGGACACCGGUUUUAGGAAGGAAGAGGCUUUAAUCAGCUGGGUGCAUAGGUAGACUCACGUCUCAAGAUCCAAGCUUCCCAAAGUAAAGACUCAUGUCCCUUUUAUAAGGGCUUACAACUCUAAGGGGUCCAUGUGAAAAGGUCGUGAUACAUUGCACAAGUGGGGGCUAUGUGACUGAGGGCUACCUGCAUCAGUGAUGGGGGCUAGCAGAACAGAACAGAAGGUUUCACA